CUCUUUCAUCGAUGACAGCUCGUUCAAGUGCCCGGGAACGUCAAAGGUCAUCUCUAGAGAAGAUGCGUGCGACACCUACAACGAAUGCCCUAAACCACCCGCCCACGCCAACAGCCCAGAUGAAAGCAACAGUCUUUGCGCUCCAUAUCACAUAAAGUCGAGGCAGAUGAACCUGCAGUACUGGAAUCUCACGAGAAGGUCAAUUACGCUCAGCUGGCCAGCACAACAGGGCGACUCCAGCAUACCCCUGGAAACUUGCCGGCUAUGUCGUCACUUACUGGACCGACACCAGCGAAACGGGCCGUCACCUGCUGCCACCGGAACGGACAAGCAUUAAGUAUGAGAAGCUGCCUCUACGAACAACGUUCAGGUUAUUGUGAGGCCCUUCUACACGCCAGACGGGCGGUCCAUGGGAGAGAGAAGGUACCAGAGGGUCAGCGCCUUGUGGCACACUGUUGUUCUUGACGAUGACGACUACCCAGACGACAAGCCUUUCCCCUGCACGACUAUAAACAAAGUCAUAGCCAGCGAGAACCUCUGCGACACAUACAUGGAUUGCGGUAGUAACCAAGGCUCGCCGGACGAGGGCCAUGCU